UACGGAGGGUGCAAGCGUUAAUCGGAAUUACUGGGCGUAAAGCGCACGCAGGUGGCUGAGUCAGUCGAUUGUGAAAGCCCUGGGCUUAACCUGGGAAUUGCAGUCGAUACUACUCAGCUAGAGUAUGGGAGAGGGUAGUGGAAUUCCCGGUGUAGCGGUGAAAUGCGUAGAUAUUGCUCGGAAGGCCAACGGCGAAGGCAGGUCACUGGUACGCAACUGACGCUGAGGCACGAAAGCGUGGGGAGCAAACAGG
rnacentral:rRNA from 1 species